AUAGUGGUUGCAGUACUGGAACAGCUGGGUGCAAUGUGGACGCAGUGGCCUUGGCAGGUCUCCUUCAUCUCAGCAUUUUACCCCAAUCCCAGGUCCACACAAGUGCUUCUCUUGACACUUCUCAAAAAUGGGAGAAGAAGAAUAAAACCGUUUAUCCUCCACAACUGCCUGCAGAACCUCAGAGACCAGCAGAAAUCUACCAAUACCAAAGAAAACUAAAAGACAGCAAAGACAAGAUGUUGUAUUUGGCAAAAUUGGUAGGAGAAAUGUCCACUGACCAGGCUUAGCUCAACUGGGAUUCAGCGACAAAAAGGGACCCAAAUCAUUAAAGAUGUUCUCUUAGAAGCACAAGACGUGGCAGUGAAAGACCACAAUGUGGAAUUCAGAUCUGGUUUAUAUAUAAACUGAGUCCACCUCAGGGGGAGGCCAGUGCCUGACAGGCUUCUGCUACCAAAGUAGAGGUUGCUUUGGGAUCAUGAAGGUUACUGCCAUUAUUUUAUGAAGCUGGUGGAAGGGCCUCCCCACCUCCACGUGAGGCACCCAAGAUGGCGAAGUCACCCAUACCAAAGAGUAUAUAUUCAGAAGCUUCAACACUGGACCAUCACUCACACUAUGA
rnacentral:lncRNA from 1 species